UUAAAAUCAAACGGAUCCAAAAGGAAGUCAAAGUAAACAACAUGUCUCAAGUUGUCGGGCUCUUCCUCCUUGCUAUUGCUGCUAUUUGUAUGCCAGCGUUGAUUAUGGCAUCGACUACAGGGUGUCUUAGAAAAGGAAUCUGUCGUGACUCCUUAAUGAAACUCUUCUGCUCGAAACAAUGUGCAGGAAAAUGAUUUGAAGAGCGUGCAAGUAGGCCCUGCAAAUUCUAUAUUACCACUGGAUUAUUGCAGAAUAUUUGAUCUUUUUACAAAAACGCUGUAUAAUGUGAAAACAACGAAUAAUAAUAAUACAUAUUCAAUAUAAUAACAUAACAACAUGUUCAGGUACAGACGCAAUUAAUUUGACAGUAAAAAUAACUUUUGACAAGAUGAAACCUAGGUCUCAUAAUAGGCGACCAGUUUUGGAAUCAUAUUUCUGCAUACUUUUAAUUUUUAUUUUAUUACGAUGGAACUUUAUCUGUUUUCUCAUAAUUUCUGAUAUAUCGUAAAAAUGUACACUUACAUUUAAAACGUGUAUCGUAUUCCAAUAAAAGUAUUUUUAAUCGAGAA